GACGAACGCUGGCGGCGUGCUUAACACAUGCAAGUCGAACGGAAAGGCCCUGCUUUUGUGGGGUGCUCGAGUGGCGAACGGGUGAGUAACACGUGAGUAACCUGCCCUUGACUUUGGGAUAACUUCAGGAAACUGGGGCUAAUACCGGAUAGGAGCUCCUGCUGCAUGGUGGGGGUUGGAAAGUUUCGGCGGUUGGGGAUGGACUCGCGGCUUAUCAGCUUGUUGGUUGGGUAGUGGCUUACCAAGGCUUUGACGGGUAGCCGGCCUGAGAGGGUGACCGGCCACAAUGGGACUAAGAUACGGAGCAGAGUGCUACGGGAGGCAGCAGGGGGGAAUAUUGCACAAUGGGAGGAAGCCUGAUGAAGAAACGCCGCGUGCGGGAUGACGGCCUUCGGGUUGUAAAAAGCUUUAGGCUGUGACGAAGCGGGAGUGACGGUAAUGGGUAAAGAAGCACCGGCUAACUACGUG
rnacentral:rRNA from 1 species